rnacentral:rRNA from 1 species
CCUACGGGUGACAGCAGUGAGGAAUAUUGGUCAAUGGUCGGGAGACUGAACCAGCCAAGCCGCGUGAGGGAGGAAGGUACAGAGUAUCGUAAACCUCUUUUGUCAGGGAACAAAGUCGGGCACGUGUCCCCGGCUGAGUGUACCUGACGAAAAAGCAUCGGCUAACUCCGUGCCAGCAGCCGCGGUAAUACGGAGGAUGCGAGCGUUAUCCGGAUUUAUUGGGUUUAAAGGGUGCGCAGGCGGUCUGUUAAGUCAGCGGUCAAAGCCCGGGGCUCAACCCCGGCCCGCCGUUGAAACUGGCAGUCUCGAGUUGGAGAGAGGUAUGCGGAAUGCGCGGUGUAGCGGUGAAAUGCAUAGAUAUCGCGCAGAACUCCGAUUGCGAAGGCAGCAUGCCGGCUCCAAACUGACGCUGAGGCACGAAAGCGUGGGUAUCGAACAGGAUUAGAUACCCGGGUAGUC